GCGAUUUUUCUUCUGAAAUGAAAUGGGGCUUUCUGGUUAUCAGACAUGGGAGCUCAGAUGUGAUGGAUCCUACUAUUUAAAGAUAUAGUGUGGACUGCUCCAAAGGCACAGCAAUGGAUCCAGGGAAGUACAAUGCCAUAUACAGCAGAUACAACGCAAACACAGAGUGGCAUGUAGUCCUAACAACAAGAAGACUUCAUGGAACAGUACUUCCCAGUCAAGAUUAAACAUCAUCAUUCCAGGUGCUGAAUGAACCCAUAGCGAGACUUGCUCCUGGCCUGAGGAUUUGACAACGCCA